GACGAACGCUGGCGGCGUGGAUUAGGCAUGCAAGUCGAACGGUAUCAUCCUUUCGGGGGUGAGAGAGUGGCGAACUGGUGAGUAACACGUAGGUUAUCUACCCUCAAGACGGGGACAACCCAGGGAAACUUGGGCUAAUACCGGAUGUGAGCAACUUUUAGUUGUUUGAAAGGUGGCGUAAGCUGUCGCUUGGGGAUGAGCCUGCGUCCUAUUAGUUAGUUGGUGAGGUAACGGCUCACCUAGGCAAUGAUAGGUAGGCGGCCUUAACGGGUGGUCGCCCACACUGGGAUUGAGAUACGGCCCAGACUCCUACGGGAGGCAGCAGUCGAGAAUAGUCUACAAUGGUCGGAAGACUGAUAGUGCGACGCCGCGUGAACGAUGAAUCCCUUCGGGGUGUAAAGUUCUUUUAUAUGUGAGCAGUGCUUCUUAUAUUAACAGUAUGGGAGAGAGAUAUUAGCAUAUGAAUAAAGCAACGGCUAAACUCCGUGCCCAGCCAGCCGACGGUAAAAUAC
rnacentral:rRNA from 1 species